rnacentral:rRNA from 1 species
GACGAACGCUGGCGGCGUGCCUAAUACAUGCAAGUUGAGCGCUGAAGGUUGGUACUUGUACCGGCUGGAUGAGCAGCGAACGGGUGAGUAACGCGUGGGGAAUCUGCCUUUGAGCGGGGGACAACAUUUGGAAACGAAUGCUAAUACCGCGUAAAAACUUUAAACACAAGUCUUAAGUUUGAAAGAUGCAAUUGCAUCACUCAAAGAUGAUCCCGCGUUGUAUUAGCUAGUUGGUGAGGUAAAGGCUCACCAGGGCGAUGAUACAUAGCCGACCUGAGAGGGUGAUCGGCCACACUGGGACUGAGACACGGCCCAAACUCCUACGGGAGGCAGCAGUAGGGAAUCUUCGGCAAUGGACGAAAGUCUGACCGAGCAACGCCGCGUGAGUGAAGAAGGUUUUCGGAUCGUAAAACUCUGUUGGUAGAGAAGAACGUUGGUGAGAGUGGAAAGCUCAUCAAGUGACGGUAACUACCCAGAAAGGGACGGCUAAACUACGUGCCAGCAGCCGCGGUAAUACGUAGGUCCCGAGCGUUGUCCGGAUUUAUUGGGCGUAAAGCAAGCGCAGGUGGUUUAUUAAGUCUGGUGUAAAAGGCAGUGGCUCGACCAUUGUAUGCAUUUGGAAACUGGUAGACUUGAGUGCAGGAARAGGAGAGUGGGAAUUUCCAUGUGUAGCGGUUGAAAUGCGUAGAUAUAUGGAGGAAACACCSKGUGGCGAAAGCGGCUUCUCUGGCCUGUAACUGACACUGAKGCUCGAAAGCGUGGGGGAGCAAACAGGAUUAAGAUACCCUAGUAGUCKCACGCCGUAAACGAUGAGUGCUAGAUUGUAGGGAGCUAUGAGUUCUCUGUAUCGCAGCUAACGCAAUAAGCACUCCGCCUGGGGAGUACGACCGCAAGGUUGAAACUCAAAGGAAUUGACGGGGGCCCGCACAAGCGGUGGAGCAUGUGGUUUAAUUCGAAGUAACGCGAAGAACCUUACCAGGUCUUGACAUACUCGUGCUAUUCCUAGAGAUAGGAAGUUCCUUCGGGACACGGGAUACAGGUGGUGCAUGGUUGUCGUCAGCUCGUGUCGUGAGAUGUUGGGUUAAGUCCCGCAACGAGCGCAACCCCUAUUGUUAGUUGCCAUCAUUAAGUUGGGCACUCUAACGAGACUGCCGGUGAUAAACCGGAGGAAGGUGGGGAUGACGUCAAAUCAUCAUGCCCCUUAUGACCUGGGCUACACACGUGCUACAAUGGAUGGUACGACGAGUCGCGAGACAGUGAUGUUUAGCUAAUCUCUUAAAACCAUUCUCAGUUCGGAUUGUAGGCUGCAACUCGCCUACAUGAAGUCGGAAUCGCUAGUAAUCGCGGAUCAGCACGCCGCGGUGAAUACGUUCCCGGGCCUUGUACACACCGCCCGUCACACCACGGGAGUUGGGAGUACCCGAAGUAGGUUGCCUAACCGCAAGGAGGGCGCUUCCUAAGGUAAGACCGAUGACUGGGGUGAAGUCGUAACAAGGUAGC